rnacentral:rRNA from 1 species
ACGCUGGCGGCAGGCCUAACACAUGCAAGUCGAGCGGUAGAGAGAAGCUUGCUUCUUUUGAGAGCGGCGGACGGGUGAGUAAUGCCUAGGAAUCUGCCUGGUAGUGGGGGAUAACGUUCGGAAACGGACGCUAAUACCGCAUACGUCCUACGGGAGAAAGCAGGGGACCUUCGGGCCUUGCGCUAUCAGAUGAGCCUAGGUCGGAUUAGCUAGUUGGUGGGGUAAUGGCUCACCAAGGCGACGAUCCGUAACUGGUCUGAGAGGAUGAUCAGUCACACUGGAACUGAGACACGGUCCAGACUCCUACGGGAGGCAGCAGUGGGGAAUAUUGGACAAUGGGCGAAAGCCUGAUCCAGCCAUGCCGCGUGUGUGAAGAAGGUCUUCGGAUUGUAAAGCACUUUAAGUUGGGAGGAAGGGCAGUUGCCUAAUACGUAACUGUUUUGACGUUACCGACAGAAUAAGCACCGGCUAACUCUGUGCCAGCAGCCGCGGUAAUACAGAGGGUGCAAGCGUUAAUCGGAAUUACUGGGCGUAAAGCGCGCGUAGGUGGUUUGUUAAGUUGGAUGUGAAAUCCCCGGGCUCAACCUGGGAACUGCAUUCAAAACUGACUGACUAGAGUAUGGUAGAGGGUGGUGGAAUUUCCUGUGUAGCGGUGAAAUGCGUAGAUAUAGGAAGGAACACCAGUGGCGAAGGCGACCACCUGGACUGAUACUGACACUGAGGUGCGAAAGCGUGGGGAGCAAAC